AACGUUCAUCCCUUGACGGUAUCUAACCAGAAAGCCACGGCUAACUACGUGCCAGCAGCCGCGGUAAUACGUAGGUGGCAAGCGUUGUCCGGAUUUAUUGGGCGUAAAGCGAGCGCAGGCGGUUUCUUAAGUCUGAUGUGAAAGCCCCCGGCUCAACCGGGGAGGGUCAUUGGAAACUGGGAGACUUGAGUGCAGAAGAGGAGAGUGGAAUUCCAUGUGUAGCGGUGAAAUGCGUAGAUAUAUGGAGGAACACCAGUGGCGAAGGCGGCUCUCUGGUCUGUAACUGACGCUGAGGCUCGAAAGCGUGGGGAGCGAACAGGAUUAGAUACCCUGGUAGUCCACGCCGUAAACGAUGAGUGCUAAGUGUUGGAGGGUUUCCGCCCUUCAGUGCUGCAGCAAACGCAUUAAGCACUCCGCCUGGGGAGUACGACCGCAAGGUUGAAACUCAAAGGAAUUGACGGGGGCCCGCACAAGCGGUGGAGCAUGUGGUUUAAUUCGAAGCAACGCGAAGAACCUUACCAGGUCUUGACAUCCUUUGACCACUCUAGAGAUAGAGCUUCCCCUUCGGGGGCAAAGUGACAGGUGGUGCAUGGUUGUCGUCAGCUCGUGUCGUGAGAUGUUGGGUUAAGUCCCGCAACGAGCGCAACCCUUAUUGUUAGUUGCCAUCAUUUAGUUGGGCACUCUAGCGAGACUGCCGGUGACAAACCGGAGGAAGGUGGGGAUGACGUCAAAUCAUCAUGCCCCUUAUGACCUGGGCUACACACGUGCUACAAUGGGAAGUACAACGAGUUGCGAAGUCGCGAGGCUAAGCUAAUCUCUUAAAGCUUCUCUCAGUUCGGAUUGUAGGCUGCAACUCGCCUACAUGAAGCCGGAAUCGCUAGUAAUCGCGGAUCAGCACGCCGCGGUGAAUACGUUCCCGGGCCUUGUACACACCGCCCGUCACACCACGAGAGUUUGUAACACCCGAAGUCGGUGAGGUAACCUUUUUGGAGCCAGCCGCCUAAGGUGGGAUAGAUGAUUGGGGUGAAGUCGUAACAAGGUAGCCGUAUCGGAAGGUGCGGCUGGAUCACCUCCUUUCUAAGGAA
rnacentral:rRNA from 1 species